rnacentral:rRNA from 1 species
GAUUUCUGGUUCGGCGCACUUGGCCCGCUCCGGUUACGGAGUUGUGUGCCGGUGUGCGCCAUCCAUCCUUCUAGAGUACGACUCUCCCUUCACUGGGUUGGGCCGGAAUCUAGAUCAUUUACUUUGAAAAAAUUAGAGUGUUUAAAGCAGGCUUACGCUAUGAAUACAUUAGCAUGGAAUAAUAAUUUAGGACUUUGGUCUUAUUUUGUUGGUUUCUAGGACUAAAGUAAUGAUUGAUAGGGAUAGUUGGGGGUGCUAGUAUUCAGCGGCCAGAGGUGAAAUUCUUGGAUUCGCUGAAGACUAACUUAUGCGAAAGCAUU